UACGUAGGGUGCAAGCGUUGUCCGGAUUGACUGGGCGUAAAGCGCACGCAGGCGGUUGCGCGCGUGGGGUGUGAAAUCUGGCCGCUUAACGGCCAGGCGCCAUCCCAUACGGCGCGACUGGAGUGAUGCAGAGGUCGAUGGAAUUGCCGGUGUAGUGGUGAAAUGCGUAGAGAUCGGCAGGAACACCCAGGGGGAAACCAGUCGACUGGGCAUCUACUGACGCUGAGGUGCGAGAGCGUGGGGAGCGAACCGG
rnacentral:rRNA from 1 species